UGCCCAGCAACUCCUAUCCCUACCUCCACGUGGUACCGGUCGGGCUGUAAGCAAUCUUAGGGAAGAUCGGGUAACCAACUUGGAACUUUGUUCGUAGGCUGACAGGGAAGG
rnacentral:ribozyme from 1 species